GCAAAGAGAUGUGCCACCCUGAACAAGCCCGAUCCCAUCUGAUCUCGGAAGCUAAGCAGGGUCGGGCCUGGUUAGUACUUGGAUGGGAGACCACCUAGGAAGCCCAGGUGCUGUAGGCG
rnacentral:rRNA from 1 species